rnacentral:rRNA from 1 species
UUUUAUGGAGAGUUUGAUCCUGGCUCAGAGUGAACGCUGGCGGCGUGCCUAAUACAUGCAAGUCGAACGAUGAAGCUUCUAGCUUGCUAGAAGUGGAUUAGUGGCGCACGGGUGAGUAAGGUAUAGUUAAUCUGCCCUACACAAGAGGACAACAGUUGGAAACGACUGCUAAUACUCUAUACUCCUGCUUAACACAAGUUGAGUAGGGAAAGUUUUUCGGUGUAGGAUGAGACUAUAUAGUAUCAGCUAGUUGGUAAGGUAAUGGCUUACCAAGGCUAUGACGCUUAACUGGUCUGAGAGG